GAUGAACGCUGGCGGCGUGCUUAACACAUGCAAGUCGAACGGAAAGGCCGAAGCUUGCUUCGGUACUCGAGUGGCGAACGGGUGAGUAACACGUGGGUGAUCUGCCCUGUACUUCGGGAUAAGCUUGGGAAACUGGGUCUAAUACCGGAUAUGACAAUCUCUUGGAUGGGGUUGUGGAAAGCUUUUGCGGUAUGGGAUGAGCUCGCGGCCUAUCAGCUUGUUGGUGGGGUAAUGGCCUACCAAGGCGUCGACGGGUAGCCGGCCUGAGAGGGUGUACGGCCACAUUGGGACUGAGAUACGGCCCAGACUCCUACGGGAGGCAGCAGUGGGGAAUAUUGCACAAUGGGCGGAAGCCUGAUGCAGCGACGCCGCGUGGGGGAUGACGGCCUUCGGGUUGUAAACUCCUUUCGCAACCGACGAAGCUUUUGUGACGGUAGGUGGAGAAGAAGCACCGGCUAACUACGUG
rnacentral:rRNA from 1 species